UGGGGAAUAUUGCGCAAUGGGCGAAAGCCUGACGCAGCGACGCCGCGUGGGGGAUGAAGCUUCUCGGAGUGUAAACCCCUUUCGACCCGGACGAAACACCCGCAAGGGUUUGACGGUACGGGUAUAAGAAGCCCCGGCUAACUACGUGCCAGCAGCCGCGGUAAGACGUAGGGGGCCAGCGUUGCUCGGAAUUACUGGGCGUAAAGGGUUCGUAGGCGGUGCGGUGUGUCGGGAGUGAAAUCUCUGGGCUUAACCCAGAGGCUGCUUCCGAAACUGCCGUGCUCGAGUGCGGGAGAGGCCAGUGGAAUUGCAGGUGUAGCGGUGAAAUGCGUAGAUAUCUGCAGGAACACCCGUGGCGAAGGCGGCUGGCUGGACCACAACUGACGCUGAGGAACGAAAGCUAGGGGAGCAAACAGGAUUAGAUACCCGGGUAGUCC
rnacentral:rRNA from 1 species